GACGAACGCUGGCGGCGUGCUUAACACAUGCAAGUCGAGCGGAAAGGCUCCUUCGGGGGUACUCGAGCGGCGAACGGGUGAGUAACACGUGAGUAAUCUGCCCUUGGCUUCGGGAUAGCCACCGGAAACGGUGAUUAAUACCGGAUACGACACCUUCUCGCAUGGGAUGGUUGUGGAAAGUUUUUUCGGCCAGGGAUGUGCUCGCGGCCUAUCAGCUUGAUGGUGAGGUAAUGGCUCACCAUGGCUUCGACGGGUAGCCGGCCUGAGAGGGUGACCGGUCACACUGGGACUGAGACACGGCCCAGACUCCUACGGGAGGCAGCAGUGGGGAAUAUUGGACAAUGGGCGGAAGCCUGAUCCAGCAACGCCGCGUGAGGGAUGACGGCCUUCGGGUUGUAAACCUCUUUCGGUAGGGACGAAGCGCAAGUGACGGUACCUACUAAAGAAGCACCGGCCAACUACGUGCCAGCAGCCGCAGUAAGAC
rnacentral:rRNA from 1 species